AGGUGGUUGACAGGAUUAGCCUGAAGCCCUCUUGGCUGUCGCCGCGCCACCGCCGUGGUCGAUCCGACCCGGGCCGCAGCUCGGGGCACCCCGCCGCCGCCGCAUCCUCUGAGGGCCGCAGGCGGAGUCGUUGUCUUCGGCAGCGGGAAUUGGAUGCGCCACGGAGCGGGCGGGAGGACCUUGCUGAGUUGAACACGGCGGUGAGGGGGUCGACGCGAUGCCGGGGGUGCUGUCCGCAUCGGGAUCGGGGAUGUGGUCGCGGCGGCGGGACGAGAUCACGUUCGAUCGCCUCCAGAAGGUUGGAAGGAUGGCUGAUCAAUUUGCAAAGCCAAGAUCGAAUCCAACUGAGACUAGAGAUGGGGUAACACUUCCCUCCUACAGAGGGGAUAUCAUCAACGGUGACGCUGUUGAUGAAAAAUCGCAUGUACCACAGGUCCUGAAAGGUUGAUUCAGGCCUACAGCCAGUCCACAAGCACCCUAAAUCUUCCAGAGGAUUUGCUCAUGGAGGGUUCGCAGAUCUUCAAAGAGUCACCCAGUGGAAUCUCGAUUUAUUGAGGCACAGCAAACAAGGAGACAGUACUUAGCCAGUGUCAUCGAGUGACUAUGCCUUCUGCAAUUAAUUUUAUGCUACUCUUUUCACUUUUGUUUUCUCAAUGAAAAUUUCAUGUGUUAUUGGCUUGCUUCAGGCAGAAAAAUCCAGUGUGCAAAACAACAAAUAUAACAGAGUAGUUUGUUUAGCCGACUGUUAUGGAUGUCAACUGACCCUUUUCACAGCUCUUGUGCUAGCAGUUAUCUGGGGAGUUUUCAUAGAGGGUUCAGGAUUCCAUUGGGUUUAUGGCUGCUGCUAGUUUGACUCCUCAACACCCCAUCAUGACCACAGCUGAGUUAUGGACUUCCCAUGAGUGCCUUCAUUUACCAUAUGAGCAAGCACUGACUAGGGAGGACUCCAUUACUGGCAUGUACUAUAACUGUUCUGCACACAUGCUUUGGGUUGGUGAGAGGACUAGGCAGCUGGAUGGUGUUCAUGUCGAAUUCGUUCAUGGUAUUUCGAAUCCUCUGGGUGUAAAGCUACUUGCCACACAUGAGCAGAGAUCGUGGGGCCUGCACUACCACUCUAUGAUGACAUGUUCUAGGCUAAAAAGCUUGGAUUGUCAAAGGAGUAGCUGAUGAAAAUUCUACCAUGUGUGGAUGGUGCCUUAUCAAAUUCAGAAUAUUGUCCUUAUUAGAGAUCCAGAGGAAUCCACAAAAACUUAUCCCUGUUUCAACCCGGAAGAUACAUCAAGUUUCAGGGACCUAGAUAAGCACGGAGUUUUAGGCUUUUGUCUUUCUGAAAGCUAAAUGACUUCACAUCAUUCAGUAAGGAAAAAAAGUCAAGAGACCUCAAUGCGGAAGCUGAAGCUGUAAACGUGGUAUGGUGAACUGCUAAGGAAUCACCUGCAACAUCUUCAGAUGAUGCAUUUAACUACAGUUCAGUAACUGCUACAUAGUUCUGUUAAGAUUAACAGUCAUAUAUGGCAUGCAAGCUACUUUGUUUAUCUCUGUUCUGGACAAUAGGUUAUUUCCUAUUUAUUUCAAUGAACAGUAGUGAACUAUUCAUUGCAUGUCGAGUGACCUGUAUGCAUCAGCUAUUU